rnacentral:tRNA from 1 species
UAGAAGAUAGUAUAAAGGUAGUACAGAGAGUUUUGGGGUCUUAGGUUCAGGUUCAAUUCCUGUUCUUCUAA